GGUUCGAUUAUGGCUCAGAUUGGAAACGCUGGCGGGACAAGCUUACACAUGCAAGUCGAACGGCAGCACGGACUUCGGUCUGGUGGCGAGUGGCGAACGGGUAGUAAUGUAUCGGAACGUGCCUAGUAGCGGGGAUAACUACGCGAAAGCGUAGCUAAUACCGCAUAUUGCCCUUCGGGGAAAGCGGGGACCUUCGGGCCUCGCACUAUUAGAGCGGCCGAUAUCGAUUAGUUAGUUGGUGGGGUGCAACGGCUCACCGCGCGACGAUCCGUAGCUGGUUUGAGAGGACACCAGCCACACGGACUGAGACACGGCCCAGACUCCUACGGGAGGCAGCAGUGGGGAAUUUGGACAAUGGGAAACCCUGAUCCAGCCAUCCCGCGUGGAUGAAGGCCUUUCGGGUUGUAAAGCACUUUUGGCAGAAGAAACGGUGCAUCGAUAAUACCUCGCGCAACUGACGGUACCUGCAGAAUAAGCACCGCCAACUACGCCAGCAGCCGCGGUAAUACGUAGGGUGCAAGCGUUAAUCGGAAUUGGCGUAAAGCGUGUGCAGGCGGUUCGGAAAGAAAGAUGUGAAAUCCUGUUUUAACUUGGAACUGCAUUUUUAACUACCGAGCUAGAGUGUGUCAGAGGGAGUGUGAAUUCGCGUGUAGCAGUGAAAUGCGUAGAUAUGCGGAGGAACACCGAUGGCGAAGGCAGCCUCCUGAUAACACUGAUGCUCAUGCACGAAAGCGGGAGCAAACAGGAUUAGAUACCCUGGUAGUCCACGUCCAAACGAUGUCAACUAGCUGUUGGGGCCUUCGGACCUGGCAGCGCAGCUAACGCGAAGUUGACCGCCUGGGGAGUACGGUCGCAAGAUUAAAACUCAAAGGAAUUGACGGGGACUCCGCACAAGCGGUGGAUGAUGUGGAUUAAUUCGAUGCAUCGCGCGAAAACCUUACCUACCCUUGACAUGUCUGGAAUCCCGAAGAGAUUUGGGAGUGCUC
rnacentral:misc_RNA from 1 species